rnacentral:tRNA from 1 species
GGAGGGGUAGCGAAGUGGCCAAACGCGGCAGACUGUAAAUCUGCUCCCUCAUGGGUUCGGCGGUUCGAAUCCGUCCCCCUCCACCA